AGGUCACUGAUUAUUUUAUUGAAAGACAACAACUAUAUAUUAUACUUUUUUUUAUGUAGAUUCAAUUAAUAUUAGAUGGGGCUGUUGGAUCUCUUCAUCACUGCAUCAAUGCCCGUCCUCAAAGUUCUUUUGAUUACCGCACUUGGAUUAAUACUUGCUCUCGAUCGUAUCGAUUUACUGGGACAAGAUGCAAGAAAGCAUUUGAAUAAUAUUGUAUUUUUUGUAUUGAAUCCAGCCCUUGUCUCCAG
rnacentral:misc_RNA from 1 species